rnacentral:rRNA from 1 species
UUGGAGGGCAAGUCUGGUGCCAGCAGCCGCGGUAAUUCCAGCUCCAAUAGCGUAUAUUAAAGUUGUUGCAGUUAAAAAGCUCGUAGUUGAAUUUCGGGGUUAGUAGGUUGGUCAUGCCACUGGUAUGUACUGGUCUCACUGAUUCCUCCUUCCUGAUGAACUGUAAUGCCAUUAAUUUGGUGUUGCAGGGAAUCUGGACUGUUACUUUGAAAAAAUUAGAGUGUUUAAAGCAGGCUAACGCCUGAAUACAUUAGCAUGGAAUAAUGAAAUAGGACGUUCGAUCCUAUUUUGUUGGUUUCUAGGAUUGACGUAAUGAUUAAUAGGGAUAGUUGGGGGCAUUAGUAUUCAAUUGUCAGAGGUGAAAUUCUUGGAUUUAUUGAAGACUAACUACUGCGAAAGCAUUUGCCAAGGAUGUUUUCAUUAAUCAAGAACGAAAGUUAGGGGAUCGAAGACGAUCAGAUACCGUCGUAGUCUUAACCAUAAACUAUGCCGACUAGGGAUCGGAUGAUGUUAAUUUUUUAAUGACUCAUUCGGCGCCUUACGGGAAAC